GGGGGUGACAUGGUUUCGACAGCGGUAUUGAAACCCGACGUGCAUGCCGAGCUGUAGAUCUGCUCGUUAAACGGUCUACAAACAAGCUAGUUGCGAACGACGCUAACUACGCCCUCGCCGCUUAAUCCCGGCGAGCGGAUGCCCCUCUAGUGCUGGUGAUGGGGGGUGCAUCCGUCGACUCUCACCAGACCGUCUUCACGUUCGCUCUUAACGUGAAGAUCAAAACCCAAGGAGAUAAGUGCAGGCGUUCCGUGCUCAACCGGCAACCUGCAUCGAAAACCAAAGUUGGGAUAAGCAUGUAGAUCGGAAGGCGGAGAAUCGUUGGACGCGGGUUCAAUUCCCGCCACCUCCACCA
rnacentral:tmRNA from 1 species